AACGAACGCUGGCGGUAUGCUUAACACAUGCAAGUCGAACGAACAAAAUUGGGGCUUGCUCCAAUUUUAGUGAGUGGCAAACGGGUGAGUAACACGUGGGAAUCUACCUAUCAGUACGGAAUAACAUUUGGAAACAGAUGCUAAUACCGUAUAUUCUCCAAGGAGGAAAGAUUUAUCGCUGAUAGAUGAGCCCGCGUAAGAUUAGGUAGUUGGUAGGGUAAUGGCCUACCAAGCCGACGAUCUUUAGCUGGUCUGAGAGGAUGAACAGCCACACUGGGACUGAGACACGGCCCAGACUCCUACGGGAGGCAGCAGUGGGAAUAUUGGACAAUGGGCGAAAGCUUGAUCCAGCAAUACCGCGUGAAUGAUGAAGGCCUUAGGGUUGUAAAGUUCUUUUAGUUGGAAAGAUAAUGACGGUACCAACAGAAAAAGCCCCGGCUAACUCCGUGCCAGCCGCCGCGGUAA
rnacentral:rRNA from 1 species